rnacentral:rRNA from 1 species
AUUGAACGCUGGCGGCAUGCCUAACACAUGCAAGUCGAACGGGGCAGCAAUGCCUAGUGGCGGACGGGUGAGGAAUACGUAGGAAUCUGCCCUUAAGUGGGGGAUAACCAGGGGAAACCCUGACUAAUACCGCAUGAUCUCUUCGGAGCAAAGGGGGGGACCGCAAGGCCUCUCGCUUCUGGAUGAGCCUACGUCUGAUUAGCUAGUUGGUAGGGUAAAGGCCUACCAAGGCGACGAUCAGUAACUGGUCUGAGAGGAUGAUCAGUCACACCGGAACUGAGACACGGUCCGGACUCCUACGGGAGGCAGCAGUGGGGAAUAUUGGACAAUGGGCGCAAGCCUGAUCCAGCCAUACCGCGUGCGGGAAGAAGGCCUUCGGGUUGUAAACCGCUUUUGUCAGGGAAGAAAUCUUCUGGGUUAAUACCUCGGGAGGAUGACGGUACCUGAAGAAUAAGCACCGGCUAACUACGUGCCAGCAGCCGCCGUAACAC